rnacentral:lncRNA from 1 species
GGCGCUGUUGCCAAAGCCGACGUCGAUGCGGUCGCCGGUCGCAUACGAGCUCACGGUUGUGUCGAGGGUCAGGGUGAUUGUGGUGCCGCUGCCGCUGAGGACGCAGGGCGCAACGCCAGCGCCAGGGGCGACCAAGGUCCGCGCGAUGGUGGAGCCGGAGGGGAUGACGCGGAUGACGCUGUCACAGUUGUCCUUGGUGGGCGUGGCGCCGUCGGCAGCAAGAAUCUCAGCGGGGGAGGCAGCCAGGUCGUACAUCUUGACGGGGAAGGGCAGGGUCACCACGAUGGUGUUGGCAGCGGUGGAAGUGGCCGACACGAAGAAGCUGAGCGUGACGGUCACGGCGCUGGCCGAGGGCGUGUACAGGGGCCCAGACAGCUCGUAGCCGGGGCCAACGUCGGACUUCCAGGCGCGCAGCAGGGUCUGGCCCGAUGCAAUGUUGACAGUGUCGCCUGUAAGGUUCACAAGAGGACACUUGCUCAGCACCGGUGCAACGGAGGGAGGCAUGGAUGGCGACUAGAGGCUACACCGACUUCCCAAGCAAUCACUCACCCGGAGCGAAGUCGGCGGCCAGCGUCAGGGUGAGGGUGAGGAAGUCGGACGAGAUGGCGCACGAGGCCACGGACUUGCCGGCAGGCAGCGCCACAAGGCUUGCGCACU